GAGGCGGAGCUCGCAGGCGCUGCAUUUCCCAGAGCCCCUGGUUCGGGAGCCGGGCGGGGCCGGAUCAGCUGCUGCGCCCCGGGGCUGCGGGGCCGGGCGGGGCCGAAGGGUCUGUGCCGGGGAGACCUUCAUUCAACCCCCCCCCCGGGCCCGCCCCGCUGCGGAGCUGCAGCCUCCAGGUGUCUGACUGAGAUCAGGGCUCCUCUCCUACUGAGCGUGGCCCUAUUCUGCCAGGUGGUGCAGAGAUCCCAACUGAGAUCUGGGCCCUGUUCUGCCAGGCACUGAAGAGCCCCCAAGUGUGAUCAGACCCUACUGUUUCAGUGUGCGAGCAAAAACUUGCUGAGGUGCAUUGAAGCAUGAAUGAGGAACGGUCUCUGAAGAGGAGUGUCGUUCAGCUGGACCUGCUGGCAGAGCUCACAGGUUGAAAUAGGAGUUUUGAAGCCAGAGGCUCAGUCUCAGGGUUUCCAGUUUCCAAACCUGAUGUGAUUUCAUGGCUGGAACAAGGGGAAAACCCGUGAGUCCCAGAUCUCCAUGGCAGUGAGAAAAAAGUGCUCCCGAGAGCUGCAUGCAAAGAUGUGGAAUCAUGAGGCAGAUGUCACUCAUGGCUUCCCACGUACCCUGACUGACAACUGGCAGCAGGUCCCUCCCCAAUCUUCCUUUCCCUGAGAUUUAUGGUGAGAUGCAGACCCAGAACUAAUCCCUUCCUCUCUCCUCUGGGGAAAGGUGUUGGGAUGGUGAAUGAGAAUGAGGAGAAACCCCAGCAGGAAGAUACUGAGCAAGUAGAAUCCCAUGAAAUGUUAUCAGGAAGAUCCAAAGGAAAUGAUUCUGGAAGUUGUGCACUCCCAGAAAAAGAAGAAACUUGUGAGAGUCAGCACAGGCCAGAGGAAAACCUCAGUAGCCACUCAGACCUUAUUAAACACGAGAGAAUCAACAUGAAAAAGACACGCUACACAUGCCAUGAGUGUGGGAAAAAUUUUAAUCGGAGCUCAGAACAUAUCAGACAUAGGAGAAUCCACACAGGAGAGACGCCUUACACAUGCUCUGAGUGUGGGAAAAGCUUUAGUCAGAGCUCAAACCUUAUCAGACAUCGUAGAAUGCACACAGGGGAGAAACCCUACACGUGCUCUGAGUGCGGGAAAAGCUUCAGUCGGCGCUCAAACCUUAUCACACAUCAGAGAAUCCACACGGGUGAGAAACCUUAUAGAUGCUCUGAGUGUGGGAAACGCUUCAUUGAUGGUUCAGCCCUCAUCUCACAUCAGCGAAUCCACACAGGAGAGAGGCCGUACACAUGCUCUGAGUGUGGAAAAGGCUUCAAACACAGCUCACACCUUAUCACACAUCAGAGAAUCCACACAGGUGAGAAACCUUAUCGAUGCUCUGAGUGUGGGAAGCACUUCAUUGAUGGUUCAGCCCUCAUCUCACAUCAGCGAAUCCACAGCGGAGAGAUGCCCUACGCCUGCUCUGAGUGUGGGAAAAGCUUCAAUCAGAGCUCACACCUUAUCACACAUCGGAGAAUCCACACGGGUGAGAAACCUUAUCGAUGCUCUGAGUGUGGGAAGCACUUCAUUGAUAGUUCAGCCCUCAUCUCACAUCAGCGAAUCCACAGCGGAGAGAUGCCCUACAUAUGCUCUGAGUGUGGGAAAAGCUUCUAUCAGAGCUAUGCUCUGAUCACACAUCAGAGAAUCCACACUGGAGAGAUGCCCUACACUUGCUCUGAGUGCAGGAAAAGCUUCAUUCAUAGUUCAGCCCUCAUUUCACAUCAGAGAAUCCACACAGGAGAGAGACCCUACACCUGCUCUGAGUGCAGGAAAAGCUUCAAUCAGAGCUCUGCCCUGAUCACACAUCAGAGAAUCCACACAGGAGAGAGACCCUACACAUGCUCUGAGUGCAGGAAAAGCUUCAGUCGGAGCUCUGCCCUGAUCACACAUCAGAGAAUCCACACAGGAGAGAUGCCCUACACAUGUUCUGAGUGUGGGAAAACUUUUAGUUGGCACUCAAACCUUAUCACACAUCGUAGAAUACACAGUGGAGAGAGACCCUACACAUGCUCUGCGUGUGGGAAAAGCUUCAAUCAGAGCUCAAGCCUUAUUAGACAUAAUAAAAUCCACAUGAGAGAGAACUGUAAUAAAUGCCUUGACUAGGGCUGGCCAAAGAUUUUUUUUUUUUUAAAAAAUCACAUUUGCUAAUUCCCACAUAGUGAUCUUUGCACCAUCUUCACCGUGGUCUCUCAGCUCCCCCAGAUGAGUUGCCUGCUUCUGCCUUUUGCUGCUCACCCUUCUUUGGGGUCAGUCUUGGAAUCUUUUCUAUCAACUCCUUUCGUUUUGAGUUGUAGGAGUGUGUCCCCCUCCAGCCAGGAAUUUUCAUCCGCUCCAGAGAGAUGGUUUGAUUCCAACAAGCUUCACUGAGGCAAAAACUACCUGUGCCUUACAUCCACUAGGAUUGUACAUGGCGUUGACGGCAGAUCCUGUUAGUGAUCUUGGUGUAAAAAGACAAUUACAGUUGUAGAGCUGAUGCAGCCCAGGUGCAGUGGUUGCAUUAGCUUUCCUCUUGACCUGACCUAAACUCCAUCACUUUUUCUAGUCUAAACAAACCCUGAGCAUCACGGUUACACUGUUUCCCCCAUUUCAAAGCAAUUGUUAGUCAUCAAGUUUCCACUUCGGGAACAAAUUGUUUCAUUCCUAGUUGCUCUAGUGUUGCUUCAGGUUGUGCUGGAGAGCAGAUAUUUUUUACUACCAUUUUCCUCACUUAAAAUAUAUUGAACUAUAACAAAGAGUAGGAACAGGGCAGGGAUAGGGGAAAAGAUCAUUUCACCCUCUGUAACAACAGAAGAAGAUAGGGUAAGUCAGAGGGAUUCCCUUAUUCCCCAUCACUAUCCCAACGCCCAUGUUGUUCAAUUGGUUAGGUCAAUAUUUUUUCUAAAGGGCUGGGAAGAGGAUUGCCUAAUAAAUGACUUGUAACUAAGCAAAAUACCCAUGCAUUUGGCUCCCAAAGCAGUUGUGACGCACGCCCUGCAGGAGGUCACUCCUGCAGAUAUCUCCUUCCAAAUCAGAUGCAUGAUGCCUAUUAUUUGGGAAAUGCAAUCCCUAGCUAGGUAGAAAUGGAAAAAAUGAAACUGACAUUUCUGUUCCGCUCACCCCUGGAAGAUGCUGCAAAUGUGUAGAAAAUGAAAUCCGUGUUGAAUGUGAUAGAGCUGUAGAAAGAUACCUAUUUUUAAUAGAUUCCUGACUUUUGGUGUCUUACAGGGAUUUUAAGACACAGCUGAAUUUAGUCCCUAAUUUAAAUCCUUGCCACCAGAUUAAAGAAAUAAAAGGCCAUAUUUGGGGGAUUUAUACCUCAUUAUCGCAACUGAUAUGUUGUGUGGUUGAUGAAGAAUUCUACCCCAGAGAAGUGUAAAAUUACUCCAAGUAAGGUCAACGAUUUGACAAGAACUCAGGUAGAAAUGGCAGGUAUGAGUGGUUGAUUUUCACCACAGAGAUGGAUGCUCUGGUGACCUGUGGCCUAGGUAAACUAUUUUUAGAACGCUGCUCCCUAGUUAAGUGGCAUUAAUCACACUUCUAAAGGAUGCCAUCAUUAAAUUGUGAACAACUAUCUUUUACCAUUUGGCUCCAAAGUUUCAUGAAGCACAGAGAGAAACAGCUGAUUCCUUCAGAGCCAUUCCAUGCCUAUGAGUCCCAAUCUGGCUGCCUUGUUGGACAAGAAGCAAUUCCAUGCUGGGCAAAUGAUGGUAGCCAAUGAGGGAAUGUAUCAGAUUCCAAGUUCAGACUGUAGGAUACAUGAAUGCUGAGUCCAGAGUCUGUGUUUUGGUCACUUAGCCCUGGUCUACACUACAGGGUUAGGUCAAAUUUAGCCGGUUUAGAUCGAUUUUAUAAUGAAUGCGUGUACAUAAGCAAACCCGUUCCAUCGACCUAAAGGGCUCUUAAAAUCGACUUCUGUACUCCUCCCCAGUGAGGGGAGUAGCGCUAAAAUCAACCUUCCUGGGUUGAAUUUGGAGUAGUUCAGACACAAAUUGAUGUUAUUGGCCUCCGGGAGCUAUCCCAGAAUGCUCCAAUAUGACCGCUCUGGACAGCACUUUCAACUCCGAUGCACUAGCCAGGUACACAGGAAAAGCCCCGGAAACUUUUGAAUUUCAUUUCCUGUUUGUUCAGCGUCGCAAGCUCAGCAGCACAGGUGACCAUGCAGUCCCCCCAGAAUCAUAAAUGAGCGCCAGCAUGGAGUGAACGGGAGACACUGGAUCGAUUGCUGUAUGGGAAGAAGAAUCUGUGGAGGCAGAACUCCGAUCAAAAAGAAGAAAUGCAGAUAUACAUGCCAAAAUCGCACAGGGCAUGAUGGACAGAGGCUAAAACGGACACACAGCAGUGCCCCGUGAAAGUCAAAGAGCUCAGGCAAGCCUACCAAAAAACAAAGGAGGCAAACAGUCACUCUGGGUCAGAGCCCCAUACAUGCUGCUUCUAUGAUCAGCUGCAUGGCAUUCUAGGGGGGGACCCUACCACUACCCCACCACUGUCCAUGGACAGCUGCAAGGGGGGAGUCUCACACAACAGGGAGGAGGAUUUUGUGGAUGAGGGGGAGGAAGAGAAUAAGCAGCAGGCACGUGGUGAAUCCGUUCUCCCCAGCAGCCAGGACCUUUUCAUCACCCUAGAGCCAAUACCCUCCCAAGGUGGGAUCCCCGACCCUGAAGCUGGAGAAGGCACCUCUGGUGCAAAUGUUUCUAUGCUCCCCCAUCAUAUCCGUCCCUGAGGUUAUCGCAGAUUAGAAGGCAAAAAUAAAACCACAUUCAUGUUGACAUGUUUUCCAAGCUCAUGCAGUCCUCCUGCACUAAUAGGGCACAGCUGAAUGCAUGGAGGCAUUCAGUGGCAGAGUCAAGGAAAGUAUUAUGUGAGCGCAAUGAGAAGAGGCAGGAUGCAAUGCUGAGGCUAAUGGGGGAGCAAACAGAGAUGCUCAGGUGUCUGGUGGAGCUUCAGGAACGCCAACAAGAGCACAGACUGCCGCUGCAUACACUGUACAACCGCCUUCCCUCCUCCCCAAGUUCCAUAUCCUCCUCACCCAGACACCCAAGAAUGUGGGUGGGGGGAGGCUCCAGGCACUCAGCCACUCCACUCCACAGGAUUGCCCAAGCAACAGAAGGCUGUCAUUCAAACAGUUUUGAUUUGUAGUGUGGCUACAAUAAGCAAUGUGCCCUUGUCCUUCCCUCCUCCCCUACCCCACCCGGGCUACCUUAUCAGUUAUCUCCCUUUUUUUUAAUUAAUAAAGGAAGAGUGCAUGGUUUCAAAACAA